GGCGUGACGUCACCUCGCCGCGCUCUGAUUGGAGGAUGGCUCCGGGCGGGAGCUCGGGGGUAAACAAAGCGGUGUCGUCUCUUCUCCGCAGCCAUUGCGGAAGGCCUUUUCUGUGGCUCUUAGAAAUCCACUGCUACUGCUUGAACGAGGACGCGGCAUACGGAAAAAAGAGACCGGAAAUACCUCGAAAUGUACGUUACUUCGUUUGACGCGAAAGAAUUUACCCUGGGAGCAUACGAAGCACCAAUAUGCGUCCCGGUCUCCGGCGGUCGGAUGUUGAUGUGAGUCCCCCCAACGUCAGCACGGUGAUGUGCGACGCGAGUGAGCCUUUCUACUUUUUGGCGGAGACCCUUUUUCGCCAGCAAGUGACUCGGUGUCUCCGUGAAGCAUCGAAGUGUAGCUACAGCCCUCUUCGGCGAGCUGAACGGGCUGCCGAGCUUUCGAAGGCCGAUCUCCCGCAGCGCUGGCACCCGGAGAACCGCCCCAUGGCGCUCGCUAAGAAUCCACCGGCUGCCGGGCUCGGAGGACAUGUUGCAGGCCCCGUGUAAUGCCCUCGGCGCCUGUGCGACUUCCAGGGGGUCUGCGUUUCACGGCCCCGUUACCAGCUGGGAAGUUCUCCAUAUAGGGGACGAUAUCCUGUCCAGCACCAGCUUCACCGUCUGGGACCAAGUGCACGAGGGGGUCGCACUGCAAGCACAUGAAAGAAGGGCACUGCGACUUUGAGGUCAAGCUUGUACAUCUACCAUUACAGAGUCCUAAAUGGAUGCCAAUUGCUACUGAUGACCUUAUGAAGGUGAAACGUCCCUGGAUUAAAGGGAAAAUCUGAUUGAAGGCGAGCUGAAGUUGUUUCUGACUUUAUUCUCUUAUGACUUGAAAGUAAUCUGCCUACUUCAUGAACUUUGAAGAUGCAAAAUUUGUUUCCGUAACUGUCCCACUUCAACGUAAUGUGCACAUUGAAACCUAUUCCUUUUCUUUUUCUGUUUUUUGGCAAGAAAAAAAAGCCAACGAAUCUCAAUCUUCCUUUUCGCAAUGGGGAGGUGUGGAAGAUUGAUUGGAUAUUUUAUAUACGCAACCAGUUUCAUAAGUGAAUGAAGAUAAAAGCAGAAUACAUGUUCACAGAUUAUUUGUGAAUCCUUAGACUUGGUGAAGUGAGUAGUUUAUGUUCGAGUCAUGUAAUUAUAAAGUCAAAACCAGCUUUAGUGCAUUUUUAAGAAGCCUUUUAGACCUGAGAGUUCUGCUUUGACUCGGCAAUACACGACUCUCCUUUGUUAUUCCUAUAGCACAGCCGAAACUAUAAACACGAGCAUGUUGCCUGACCAAUGCUUGAAGUGCCGUGAAAUCGACGAAGUCCCUAUCCUUCGAGAACAAGUGUCAACGGGGAUAGUCGAAAGACCAGGGUAUUUAUUGCACACGCAUACUUGAUUUCAGGCUUGCAGAUUGAAGUAAUUGUUUAUUGAAUCCAUUCUUAAACCUGUUUGAGAUUGUAUUGGUUCAUAUUCACAGUAUAUUUAUUUUUAAUUUCAGCAAGGAAUAAUUUAGAGACAGAUGUUGGUGUUCAGGCGUGAUGCUUUUAUUUUCGUAACAUGCAAGAGUGCAAAAAAUUAGACUUGGCUUUGUAAGCUGAUCUUUUUAUGUAUUCUUCCAAACAGCAUAGCAAGCAAUAAUAUAAGGGCUACAGCUGCAAAAGUGGCUACACCUGGCAUCUCAUUUGUUUUAUAGCGUGUACAGGUGAGACACUAUACUCCGUUUCACAGUCACUUGGCAAACAUUGUGACCCAAUAAGAGCAUCGGAGCCAGGCACAUGACAACACUCCACGGUCGAGUCCUCGUUAUCGCCACAGCAAGAGCGCCAUCUGCGACAAAACAUAGUUCUAGGCUUUUUUUUUUUUUCUCUUCUUCUUUUAGUAGUGUUGCCGUCAGAUUCUUCGAACCGCAACACUACAUGACACUGAAGAAAGACUAAGACAUAUGUUACUUAUUAACGACACUUAAUAUAGAUCAACACUUUUGAGAAAAAUAUGGCUUGUGAUCGACGUUCAAACAAUUGUAGCCGUGAAUCGACCACUUCCGCUCAAAACAUCGCCCUAGCAUUAGCACCCGCCACAGAUUCAUGGGCAAAUUGAGCAUGUGGUUGCCUCAUAAAAGUGUUACUGAAGACCUCGCUACUCUAGCGGACGGUAAAGGCCGGUUCUCACAUGCAGCGAAGCGCUCCUCACGUGCCGUCAGCUACUUAUUGUCUGCCAUGAGCAACAGUUUCGACGGUGCGAUACAAAGCUGGUGAACGCUCCCGUCAUCACGCGCUUAGCGCGAGGUCAGCGCUAUGCUUGUAGCGCUCCGCUGCAUGUGUGAACAGGCCUUAAUGUUGCUGCAGUGGACGUCCAUCCGAAUUCGUUUGGUUUCUGAGCAUUUGACAGCCGGUUCUGGUGGGUGGUCCUUGCAUUUGGCGCGGUGACACGGACGCUCCUGUGACAUGCUGCCAUGUGCCUCGCUCCGACAUUCUUACUGGGUCGCAGGAGCCGUAGCCUCCACAGUUCACCAAGCUAUCGUGAAACAGAGUGUAGACUAAGUUGUCUGCUAAUGAAAGUAGCAUUGCCAGCAUCAUGUAUUAUGUAUGAAACAGUGUUUACUUCGAGAAAACAAAUAAAGCCAUUCAUCCUUUCCACUGAUUGUUUUGGUUCAUUAGUAAAACUUGCUUCAGUGAACUUUACAUUUCAGCAUUAGCAUGGACACAACAGGUAAGGUCAAUUACAAGUGCUUUAGAGCGGUCCAAACAGUUUCCAAGUGGCUCAUGCAAAGCAGCUGACAUGGUAUUACCCCCAGGAAAGAGACGAGACCUCCUUGAUGAAUCUACUUCAGCCGCAAGGCACACCAAACUGAAUAUUGGCGUUUCUAGGAAAUUGGGAUCAACCAAACAAUUCCAUGGAAAGGUACACCUCCAACAGCUUUGGUGUGGGGGUGAGCCCUAUCUGCAGCGACAAUACUGAAGCCUCGCAAGCCACCAUCACUAACACAUGCGAGUAGUCACUCAGUGCCUGGCAUACUUGGGCAUUGAUGCAACAAGGAAAGAUUAUCAAUGAGUGGACUAGGAAUUUGGAUCCAAAUGGGACUGUCUUCACAUUCUUCACAAUCGCUGUAUGACCACCAUCUGUUGGAGUGUUUCUGGAUGUCAACAGCCCAUCUGGGACCUAGAAAUGACAAAUGAUAUUAGAAAGUUUAUCACUUACACACUCAGUCCCAGUCUGCUGAGCGAACAAAACAAAAAUAUGUACAUGUUAGCCAUUGUUUACUCCCGUGUCAAUUCCAUGGGGCGCUCAUUAGCUAGGCUUGGAUAGUGCACGAUAUCCGAAUUUUCAUCUUGGUAAGGGAACGAUAAAGGAGACAAGCGACACACAAAAACACGUCAGACACUGACAGCGUCGAUGUGGUUUGAAGAUACACUGCGCAACACAUUUUGCAGAAAGGCGGCAUCGGUACUUCGUUGGCAAUUCACUCAUAGUGGGUAAUGUGAAACGGCAAAUUUGUACUGUCCGAGUUGGUUCACUGUAUUACACGUAACAGCCAUUCCAACUUCAUUCCUGAAAGAAAAAAAAAAACAAAAAACGAUCCCGUUAAAAAAAAAAACGAUCGCGUUUUUGUGGUAAGUUUUGAGCUCUGUGCUUUUCUACAGUGCCAUGAUUACAACCGUAGACUGAAACUACUAUACCAAAUACGAUGUAUGACUAUACUGCGUCUCAUCUAAGUGCGAACGAAGAGAAAAUUACAAACGCGAGAACGCACUGCAAGAUCGCACAUGGCAGCUAUGAUCAAAGCUCGGGACUCGCCCAUGUAGAUUUAACUUCGAUUGCAUUUAAAAUGAAACGGAACAUAGUUUAUACGGCCUCCGUGCAGUUUCGAGUCGAAAUUCCUAAAUAUCACCUGCGA